rnacentral:rRNA from 1 species
AUUGAACGCUGGCGGCAGGCCUAACACAUGCAAGUCGAGCGGAAACGAUGGGAGCUUGCUUCCAGGCGUCGAGCGGCGGACGGGUGAGUAACGCGUGAGAAUCUGCCCAUUAGUGGGGGAUAACUCGGGGAAACUCGAGCUAAUACCGCAUAAUCCCUACGGGGGUAAGCAGGGGACCUUCGGGCCUUGUGCUGAUGGAUGAGCUUGCGUCGGAUUAGCUUGUUGGUGAGGUAAAGGCUCACCAAGGCGACGAUCCGUAGCUGGUCUGAGAGGAUGACCAGCCACACUGGGACUGAGACACGGCCCAGACUCCUACGGGAGGCAGCAGUGGGGAAUCUUGGACAAUGGGGGCAACCCUGAUCCAGCCAUGCCGCGUGUGUGAAGAAGGCCUUCGGGUUGUAAAGCACUUUCAGCAGGGAGGAAGGCUUUGGGCUAAUACCCUGGAGUACUUGACGUUACCUGCAGAAGAAGCACCGGCUAACUCCGUGCCAGCCGCCGCGGUAA